ACCAAUGUGACAUAAUGGUUUGAGCGUUGGACUGUGACUCUGGAGACCAGGGUUCGAUUCCCAGCUCGGCCA